GAUGAACGCUGGCGGCGUGCUUAACACAUGCAAGUCGAACGGAGAAGGCGGAGCUUGCUCUGCUGGAUCAGUGGCGAACGGGUGAGUAACACGUGAGCAAUCUGCCCCUGACCCUGGUAUAAGCGCGGGAAACGGCGUCUAAUACGGGGUACGCGCUGCUAAGGCAUCUUCAGCAGCUGGAAAGAAUUUCGGUCAGGGAUGGGCUCGCGGCCUAUCAGCUUGUGGGUGAGGUAAUGGCCCACCAAGGCGUGGAGGGGUGGCCGGCCUGGGGGGGUGACCGGCCACACUGGGCCUGAGAACCGGCCCGGACCCCUACGGGGGGCAGCAGUGGGGAAUUUUCAACAAUGGGCGAAAGCCGGAUCAAGCAACGCGGCGUGAGGGAGGAGGGCCUUCGGGUUUUAACCCUUUUUUCGCGGGGAAGAAGCGAAAGUGACGGUACCUACAGAAAAAGCGCCGGCUAACUACGCG
rnacentral:rRNA from 1 species